UGGGGAAUAUUGGGCAAUGGGGGAAACCCUGACCCAGCAACGCCGCGUGGAGGAAGAAGGUCUUCGGAUCGUAAACUCCUGUCCUCAGAGACGAGAAGAAGACGGUAUCUGAGGAGGAAGCCCCGGCUAACUACGUGCCAGCAGCCGCGGUAAUACGUAGGGGGCAAGCGUUGUCCGGAAUGAUUGGGCGUAAAGGGCGCGUAGGCGGCCCGGUAAGUCUGGAGUGAAAGUCCUGCUUUUAAGGUGGGAAUUGCUUUGGAUACUGUCGGGCUUGAGUGCAGGAGAGGUAAGUGGAAUCCCAGUGUAGCGGUGAAAUGCGUAGAGAUUGGGAGGAACACCAGUGGCGAAGGCGACUUACUGGACUGUAACUGACGCUGAGGCGCGAAAGUGUGGGGAGCAAACAGGAUUAGAUACCCUGGUA
rnacentral:rRNA from 1 species